rnacentral:rRNA from 1 species
UCCCUCAGUAACGGCGAGUGAAGCGGGAAGAGCUCAUGUUUGAAAUCCAGCUCCCUCGGGGGGCUGGAAUUGUAACCUAGAGGAGCGAGAUCGCCUGCCGGCAGGGCCGCGGCUAAGUCCGAUUUGAAAAGGGUACCAAGGAGGGUGGCAGUCCCGUUCAUGCCGCAGUCCGGCCGGCGUAUGGCCCGCUUCCAACGAGUCGAGUUGCUUGGGAUUGCAGCUCAAAGUGGGUGGUAAACUCCAUCCAAAGCUAAACACGUAUGGGAGACCGAUAGCGAACAAGUACCGUGAGGGAAAGAUGCAAAGAACUUUGAAAAGAGAGUCAAAGAGUGCCUGAAAUUGCUGAGAGGGAAGCGAAGGAAAUUAGUGUCAGUCGAGGGGAUCUCGUAUCGGGGUUAGCGGCCCUGUACCUUCGUACGGGGCCCUCUCCCGUUAUCCCCCGGGGUGUCAGGGGCGGGGGCGUAGCCGGAGGCGGCGGCCCAGGGUAAAGGUGCUCCGAGGUAACAGCCGGACGAAUGCAAUGGUGAAAAUAUUAAGACGCGUCUCGGUCGCGGCCGUCCCUGACGAAAUGGUUUUCUUUACCCCGU